rnacentral:rRNA from 1 species
CCUAUCUACUAUCUAGCGAAACCACAGCCAAGGGAACGGGCUUAAAUAAUUAGCGUAGAAAGAAGACCCUGUUGAGCUUGACUCUAAUCUGGCAGUGUAAGGAGACAUAAGAGGUGUAGAAUAAGUGGGAGAUUUUGGCCUUUCGGGGCCCUUAUCAGCAGUGAAAUACCACUACUCUUAUUGUUUCCUUUACUUACUGAUUAAGUGGAACGUGUAUUAUUUCCUAGCCAUUGUAAGGAUAUAUUUAUAUAUCUAAUGGUAUUGGGUUAUGAUGCAAGCUUCUUGAUCAAAGUACUAAGAGUUUGUUAUAUAAUUGUAAACAGGUUUUGAUGAAAUAAUUACACUAAUGCAUGUUAUAUUUAAAAUUUGGUAUAACUCCCAUACCUCAGGUAUGAUCCAAUUCAAGGACAUUGCCAGGUAGGAGUUUUGAACAUGCACAUCUCUCAAAUAAUAACGGAGGUGUCCUAAGGCCAGCUCAGUGCGGACAGAAAACCACAUAGAGCAAAAGGGCAAAUGCUGACUUGAUCUCGGUGUUCAGUACACACAGGGACAGCAAAAGCUCGGCCUAUCGAUCCUUUUGGUUUAAGGAGUUUUAACAAGAGGUGUCAGAAAAGUUACCACAGGAUAACUGGCUUCGGCGGCCAAGCGUUCAUAGCGACGUCGCUUUUUGAUCCUUCGAUGUCGGCUCUUCCUAUCAUUGUGAAGCAAAAUUCACCAAGCGUUGGAUUGUUCACCAUGCAAGGGAACGUGAGCUGGGUUUAGACCGUCGUGAGACAGGUUAGUUUUACCUACUAAUGACAAUAUGUUGUUGCGACAGCAUUCCUGCGUAGUACGAGAGGAACCGCAGGUACGGACCUAUGGCACAAUACUUGUUCGAGCGAACAGUGGUAUGACGCUACGUCCGUUGGAUUAUGCCUGAACGCCUCUAAGGUCGUAUCCAAGCUGAACUGCAAUGAUAAAAUGGGGCAAUUGCAUUGUAUGGCUCUUUAAACAUUUAAAGUUUGCUUUGGUAAACGACAAUGUAUUGUGAUGCCAAUGUUAUUCGUUACAUAGCAAGUGCAGGAGGAUAUUAUCACCUGUACGCCGCGCUUAGUAACUUAUAAAAACAUUAUUUAAUACAAUGACAAUGCCUAGAAUCAAUUGUAAACGACUUUUGUAGCGGGCAAGGUGUUGUAAGUGGUAGAGCAGCUGCCAUACUGCGAUCCACUGAAGCUCAUCCUUA